rnacentral:rRNA from 1 species
CAAUAGCGUAUAUUAAAGUUGUUGCAGUUAAAAAGCUCGUAGUUGGAUUUUUGUUGAAAGGCAGCAGUCGGCCUUCGGGUGUGUACUUGUUGUGUUUUCGACAUAAUGUCGUUUGAUUGGCUGUUCUUCAUUGAAUGGUUGGAUCACGGCAGUAUUACUUUGAGGAAAUUAGAGUGUUUCAAGCAGGUUAUUGCCUUGAAUACAUUAGCAUGGAAUAAUGAAAUAGGCUUUCGCUCUAUUUUGUUGGUUGAUAGAGCUUAAGACGUGAUUAAUAGGGAUAGUUGGGGGCAUUCGUAUUUGACUGUCAGAGGUGAAAUUCUUGGAUUUGUCAAAGACGAACUACUGCGAAAGCAUUUGUCAAGGAUGUUUUCAUUAA